UAUCUAUGACUUGAAACACGCUGCUUUUUCUCCGUGACUUGAAACGCAGAGUGUUUCUAGGUUUCGGGCUCCACGCGUUCCUAGCCCCCGUCUCCCUAGCAUUAAAUGCACACUCCACCAGAGAGAUUCAACCUUGAGCCUUUUCCAGCUGGAUCCGCCUAGUGCGCGACCAGCCCUCGGGGACCUUGGAUGAGGUUCUCAGUUCACCUGCGCUGGGAAGGCGAGGCGUGCGUGCGCGUCCAUCCCUCCAGGCACCUGGACCACCAGCCUCCUUGCGCUCUCGCUGCACUUUCUCCCCUAGCCCGGGUCUCCACCGCUGGUGAGCCAAGGCGUUGCGGAGAGGUGUGGAGGGGGCGGGGAAGGGGCCCGGAGGGGAGGGGCGAGAGAACGCUGUCACGGAGUGUCAUGCUGCCCCUCCCGCCCUCCGCCCGGGGGUGGGGGCGUGGAGCGCGGGAGGGCGGGCUUCUCCGCCAGCCUCGCAGCUCCCGGAGCGCACUGGCCUCCUGAGCAGGGCACGGAGCCCGCGGCCCGGAGCUCGCAGCCGGCCGUCGCCUGCCGUCGUGCUCUGGGCGGCCGCCGGGUUCCUGGAGAGCGCGUCCAGCCAUGGAGCCUUUGCACAAAGACGCUGAGACGGCGGCGGGGGCGGCGGCGGCGACAGCGGUGGACCCCAGGGGGCCGUCCUCUGGGGUGGUCGUGCAGGUUCGAGAGAAGAAGGGACCCCUGCGGGCCGCCAUCCCCUACAUGCCCUUCCCGGUGGCUGUCAUCUGUCUCUUCCUCAACACUUUCGUGCCGGGAUUGGGUACGUUCGUCUCGGCCUUCACUGUGCUGUGCGGGGCACGCACGGACCUCCCAGACAGGCACGUGUGCUGCGUCUUCUGGCUGAAUAUCGCCGCGGCCCUCAUCCAGGUGCUGACAGCCAUAGUUAUGGUGGGCUGGAUCAUGAGCAUCUUCUGGGGCAUGGACAUGGUCAUCCUCGCCAAAUCGAGGGAUCUAGAACAAAGCAUUAAGCUCAAGAGUGUUCCCGUCAACCCCACAUGAGAUAACACAGAUGUGUAGAUGGAGGUCCAUGCCCUGCCUCCCUGUCUCCCAGGCUGCUGACUUGGCUGAUGGAGGAGCAGGAUGUGCAGAUGGCAGAGUGUUGGGCCCAGGCCCUCCUUCUUGCCCUCUCAGCCCCCUUGGGGGUUGCUCAGCCUCUUGGUUGCCUGGGACAUAUCCAGGCAUACUGUCUUGGCACCCAAGUUGUCACCAUGGUUUCUGGAGGCUGCAAGAAGAAAAUUGACCCCUGCUUCCUCUACCCAGACCACCAGACACACCCACCAGGCUCAGCAGCCAUUGCCUUCUCGCCUUUUGUAAAAGAUGAGGUGGGCUGGACUGCUCCGAGCAGCCAUGUUUGGGGAGCCAUCUUGGGACAGCUGCAACUGACUUUGUCCCCAGGAACAGCUAGGUAGAGGCUUGUUCCCCUCGCAUAACUCACAUAGAAAUAUAGGUUGGGUUUCACACGGCACCUUUGUUGUGCCACCAGCAAACACAGUAUCAAAUAAAAACUUCUGAGAACAGUCACAAACACAAAAGCUUCAUCUGUGUUAAUAACGAGCGGAAACAGUCACAGCGGCUUGUCUUGAUCACUGGUCAGUACUUGUCUGACGGCUCUCCCGACUGCUCUUUCUGUUGCUACAUCCAUACCAGACACUGGUAAUCAUUUAUGACAUUUGUCUCAGCACAAGGUUCCAGGCAGUCAUUACCAAUUGAUCCAGGAUAUCUGCAAAAUGUUUUCUAUCCUAAGGUCUUCCCCAAAUAUCAAUGUGGGUCCAGUCCAUAGAAAGGACAGACCAUAAAGCCUGGACAGAGCUGGCCUGGGACCAAGGCAGGUCACCAUGGCAUCUUUAGUUUGUCAGUCACACCUGCUUUGUCUGUCCCUCUUCUAAAUCAUCCAGAACAGGGGCUGGGAGUUGGGGGGGUGGUAAUGAAGAAAGAAUGAAGACAGGAGGAGAGCAGGGGUGUGGGCAUGGCUGAAGUGGGUGCUGGGAAGACAGGGGCAGGAAUUUGUGAUACAGGUGGAGUGCUGGCCACAUGGCUGGUCAUGGGGAAUACUAAUACCACCCCCCCCGGCUGACGCCCUGCCCUUGCAGUGUCUUUGAUAGAGCUCUCCACCCCCAUUUUACAUCCCCAGUGCUUUGCCUUCUGUGUUCAGACUGUUUCUCUUUCUCUCUCUCUUCUUCUGCUGCCUUGAAUCCCUGCUGCUGCAGUCUCCCAAGGGUACAAAGAUCAGGGUAUCCCACAGCAGCUGUGAGCCUACAGGACCUCCGAGGAAGUCCAGGGUCCUGUGAGGGCCGUACCAGGUGGCUCCGGGCACAAGGACCCUCACAUCUUCUCUUCUGCCAUUUCUCAGAUUGGGGUGGAAAGGGAGUAUUUAAAAAAAUAUUAUUUAUUUUGAAAAACACACCUGCUUUUCUCAGCAGGCUCCAAGGUCAACUCCUCUCCCUGCUCCAGAGGUGCAUGGAAGGAACAGGCUCAGAACAUCAGGACUGGGCUAGAGGCAGCAUAUUGACCAAGUGCCAGGGGUGCUGGGCAUGCCUAUCCAACUGACCACUGGACAGGCCUGCCAGGCUGGGUUGCUGUAGCCCUGUGCAGAUGAUCAGGCUCUCUCCCAGGCGUCAGGACUUCACGGAACACUUCCUCUGGGUCUUCACCCCCUACGUGGUACCCUGAAUUUGCUCUGUGCCCUCCCAGGGGCAGUACCAGGGUGGGGGUUAUGAGGCAGCCAGGUGAUAGCCAGUGUGGGAAGGUUCUUGCCCCUCCCCCCCAGGUGUCUGAUGACAUCCCAGCCUUCUAGUUGCUGGGUGUGCCUGUGACCUUUGUGACCUGACCCUAGGGCGCCACCGGCUCCACCUCUGGGAUGUCAUUGUUAGAAUCCAGACGGCUAUAUGCAAAGUGGCUGAGUUGUGAAUGGCUGCCGAGAAGCGGUCUUCUUGGACGUAUUUACUACCGUUUCUGGUGUCCUCUCCUUUUCCCGACAUUCACGUAUUUCUGAAUCCAGACUGUUCUGAGGAAGAUGAUGGAAUCCAUUCGUUGCCAUUUCUUAAUACCCCAGCUGCGUCUGGGCUCCCCACUCACCUCCAAACACUCCUGUGGACAGGCAGAGCCUUGGGGCCCAUGGAAUGUAAAUAGCCUUGCCGGAGCAAGUCCUGGAGAACAUUGGAGACUGGUCUGCAUUUGAAGGAUGAGAGCCGCCGAGUGACAUCAUGAGGUUGGGGACUUCGACCUGAAUUUCAGACGUGCUGCAAGGAGACGCCCUGAGAGGCUGAAGUUGUUGGCUUGGCACGUGGACUUCUGUGCCCCUUUAAGCAGCAAACCUGGGAGCGAUGGUACAGAGCUAGAUCCUCAAUAGAGAGAAAAACCAACAGAAGGUAGGAGGGCACCAAUUUGAAAUUAAGAGAAAAUCGAACCAAAAUGACAAUGAUGGAGUGGCUCUUUGCAUCUCUCCUCAUUCUCAUUCUAAGGUAGGAGGCGCUAACAUGUGGGAAGGGCCCGGAGCUCAGUUCCCCCUGGUCGUACUGGCCUUGAGCCAUCAGUAGGUCCCUCUUGGGGAAUCUUUCCUUCUCCAGCUGAGGCUCUGUCAUAGAGUGACCAGGGCUAAAGAAAGGAGCUGCCACUUUCUGCCUUGGUGAACGGAGGCUCCUGGGAAGACGCUCCCACAUUUCACUGGGGCUCCAGCCCCCUACCAGGCUCCUUAAUUGCAACCUUUGGGAGCAGACCCCCAACUGGAGAGCCCCCAGUAUCAUGAAGAGAUGGGAGUCCCGUGAUGUACUCAUUCCUGCCUCUGCUGCUGGGCUGACUGGCUUGUCCUACCACGUCUCCACCCAUUAGUUUCCUCCAUGGCUGUGUGGGAUUUAGUUGCACCCUUUGAAUACCUGCCAGGGGCCUGUGUAUUUCUGUGUUUUCUUCUGUUGCUUCUGUUUUCCCAAAGCCCCUGUCAUUGCUGCUCUCAAAGAGGCUAGUCGGGUAUCAGAGCUACACCAGACAGCCGUGACACAGGGGAAUGAAUGGUGGGUUAGCGUCCCCUCCCAUGCUGCCAGCCCACGUCCCAUUAGCCCACAUAGCCAGAGAUGACAGGCCUUGGCAAGAGCGGCCCCCACAGCGAGGGAGAAGUCUAUUUCCCUGGCUUGGGCUGGGGGUGGCUACCGGGGGAGUUAGAGGAGAUAGCAAUUUGUAUUGCUUGUUUAGUGAAAUGAGCCAGACUCGAGUGGGAUUUUUCCUGAGUGACAAGUGUCACCAUGACUUCCAGUGUGGGAUGGCUUAAUACCAGGGUUUGUGAGCUCAGAAAGCUGUCUCCUGGGCACCCCCUCCCUCCAGGGGCUGAUGUGGGUAGACUUUAGGAUCCGCCAGAAUAGAGAGUCUGAGGGUGGUCACCGGCUCUAAACAGCAAGGCCUGGGUGAGGCAUGGCUUUAGCAUAAUCAUUCUCAGGUGAUGGACAGUGGCUAGUUCAUGCCUCAUAGUCCAAGCUGGCCAUUGGAUCUAGGUGGCCAGAGUUCAUUUCAGCUAUCUAGAAAGCAGGGUGACCAGCCCAUCGAGUGCUUAGUGGCUGUCAGACCCUUUAGUGACAAAGCUGCCUGAACGACAUAGUUCAGGGCUUCUGUCCCAACUUGGGGAAAGAAUUCAGAAGGGUAUUCCCUGGCUAUGAGCGCCAGGGGCAGAAAUCACAGGCACACGGGGAGCAUGGUGAGUGUGGCACUGACAGGACCUAAUGUCUCAUGGUGAUCGGAGUGGCCAUUGCUUCCACCAGAGUGGAGCCUUGGAGCAAGAACGCAGCACCAGGUAACCCAAGCGUCCUGGCUUCAUUUCUGGUGCUGUGAUACAACAUCCCAACACAAAAGCAACACAAAGGAGGAAAGGGGAGAGGUUUUCUGGUUGGUCGGUUGGUUGGUUGGGCUUAUAAUCCAGGUUAUACAUAGUCCGGCACAGCAGCGGAGUCACGAUGGCAGGAAGCAGCUAAGUCACACCACAUCCACAGUCGACAGCAGAGAGACGCAAACGUGUCCAUGCCGGGUUUGUUUUUAUUCUUUCUUUGUUUGUCUGUCCUGUGCCUCAGCUAGUUCUAUGUAAACUUAGAAAGUCUAGGACUCGGCCCAGGAACCGGCACCACCCGAAUUGAGGGUGGACCAUCCCUCUUCAGUGAGCAGCUAAGACAAUCCUCCACAGGCGUGCACACAGGCCAAUCUGAUCUAAAUAAUUCCUCAUUAAGACUUUCCCCAGGUGGCUCUAGGUUUUGUCAAGUUAAAGCUACUCAGCAGUGUGUAGCGUAUUGUGAAGGCUACUGAAGACCUCAGACUGUGGCCUAAAGGCCACCUCCCAGCCUCGGUCUGACAAACCUGCUGCCCUUGCCUGGGCCAAGUCUCCAGAUGCUCUGGAGACAGGAGAAGGAAGUAACAUGGGCACCGUAAGCUCCCUGCCUCCAUGGCCCCAGACCUGUGUCCAGGCCCAGCCAACAGCCCCAGCAGUAGGCCUGGCCUGGGUGCUGCCCAGGGCAGUUCAUCUCCUACUAUUCUAUGAGCAGCCUGUGAGGAGGGAAGCUUUCACCCGGAGAGAUCAGGCUUCUCCCCAAGACACACGCCCCUCAGAAGUCAAGGGAGGAAUAAUGAACCUCCUCAGAAGGAUGGGGUAGCAUUUUCCCACCUGUCUUCCUGGAUCCUUGAGCUCAUCUGUCCUCAAAGCCAUGCCCCCUGGCUUCUGCAGGUCCCUUAUGGAGGGUGGGAGCAGAGGGCAGCUAGAGACAGAGCUGGUGCCAACAGCUGCCUGGUUCGUGGGAUCCAGUUCCUGCACUCCAUCACAGGACUGAGGCUGCACUGAUGCCCGAUACAGUCUUGGGGUGUAGGAUGCUAAGGACUGAGUAGGGGUGGGGCAGGGAGGAGAACUCAGCUAAAGGAGAUACAGAAAAAAAAAAAAAAAAAAGAACUACAGGCUAGCAUGUCUGAAAAGAAUCAAGAUGUCCAAAAGAAAAGACAUCCACACAUCUCAAACACAGGGUCAAAGGCCAGCAUAUAGUGGGCUGAAAACCCAAAACUAGAAAAAAAAAAAUCCCCUUUAAAGGCCCAGGGGUCCCAAAGGGGGAAAGUGAGGCUGAAUGAUACUUUUCCUUCUACCUUAAGAUGCAAAAACACAACCGGCUCGCCCUAAGUCCUUUUCUUUAGCUGGUCUCUUCCUGGCUGGCUGGCUGGCUGGCUGGCUGGGUGGUGACCUCCGAGGCCUCCAGCUCAUGUGAGGUGGGAGUAGGCUACUCAGGCCUUAGUGAUGUUCCUUGUGGUUGAUGACAGAAGAAAGCUGGGGCCGUGUUCAGAGUGCUGGAGGGACUCCAUCAGUCAGAGCUCCUCUGUGGCCACUGCCUCUCCUACUCUGGCGUGGAAGUGCACCUGAUGCAGACCAAGGUUGCCCCCUAGUGGAGGCAGGAAGCCAGGACACCAUCUGUGGGCCUGCCGGUGGGGCCCACCCCCCUGCUGUGAGGUUCUGCAGUUGGCAAGCAUUCCUUCGGGGCUAAAAUGCUCAGAUCCGGAACUGAUGAAAGAUGAUGCCCUCCAGGCCUCCUCCCUGCAGUAGUGACGUGAUGGCAAGUGGGGCAGGAGACCCUUUCCUCAACGACCAGCAGCUCUGUUUCCUUCCCGAGGGUUCUGUGUCCAGGCUGUAGGGGACACAGACAUGGGCAUCCCAGGGUGACCACGGUCCAGUUUCACCCACGCCCCUUCAGCUAGCUGCCUUUUAACCUCCUUUCAACCAUCUACAGUAUAGAAGUGAAGCCAGCUUGUCAUUUUCACCAAUCCUGCCAAGGCGAAGGGGCUAGGAAGCCCAGGCCCAACCAGGCAAGGGAGGUAUGCUAACCUCUUGGUUCACAAGGCUGAUAGUGCCAGAGCAAGGAGGGCUUAAACUGUCUCUGGUAAAACAAACACAGGUCACCGGUGAGUGACCUUUUCCAGGGAGACUCAGAGAAGUGCCUCUUCGCCCCAACUAGGUCAUCAAAAGACUAAAGAAAAGAUUCCACCAAAGGUAAAUCUGGGACCCAGUGAGUUUAUGGGGUUAUGUACGGGAGCAUGGGUGACCCUUGGUAAACUAUGUCACUGAAAAACCCCCACCCCAGCGUGGUGACUGUCCUUACCCCCCACCCAACUCUGCCCACUGUCCACACCAGUCUCCCUCUCUCCUGGGGUCGGUGGGUUCAGUGUCCCCACUGCACCAAGUCCAGCUCUACUGAAGCCCCCCGGGCCCCAGAGUGGUCCACUAUGGAGAGUCUGGGGAGGGGGGCAUCUUCCUGACGUUUUUCUGGGGCUUCAGGCAGGACUUUGGCUUCUGAGCUUCUACACUGUCUGCACCAGCUCAGGAUCCAGCAAGGAGUAGAUGAGGAGGGAAGCUUUGAGCAGGAAGUGAUGGUGGGGAACGUGACAAAUUCCUGCAGGCGCCUGCGGUGCCCCUUUGUUUUCAACAACACAUAAAAGGAAGGCACUGGCCAUAUCACUGAAUUAUGGGCAAGUGUUGGGCUGUGAAUCACUGUCUUUGGUGUUGCCAUUGGCUUUGUUUGGGUCUCUUUUUCCUGUUAAAUUAGUUGCUGAACGUUUUCAUGUUCUCUGACAAUAGCCAGGGCUUUCUUUUCUCACUCCCACUCACACGGAGCCCACAUGCUCCUGUCCGGGGGGGGGGGGAGGGGAGCAUUGCGAGCCCCUUCCAAAGGUUGCAAGCAUUCUUGGAGACUACUUGGACUAUCUCAGCUCUGGGGAAGAUUCUAGACUCGCCUGUCCGAAACUGAAGUCUGGGGCCCAGGUUUGACUUUGGCUCAACUUUCCCAGUGUCCUCAGGCUUGAGCCCCAAGCCUUGGCCCAGGGCCCACCGGGCUCCACAGGAGCAGAGCUGGGCUCCUGCUUCUCCAGCCGUCCAUCUUUGAACCCCUUUCUCUCAGCUGCUGUACAUGUGAUGAAGAACACCACCCACAAGCCUGUGUACAUAUCUCCAUAAACGUAUGUGUACAUACACACGUCUCCCUGAUAGAAAGAUACAAGAGCAUGGCAUUUCUUUGGCAUUCCAAUUUGUGGGUUUUGUUUUGUUUUUCUAAUCCUUGGAAAUAAUGGUUUUGGCAACCCUUUCUUCUUUUUCCUCUUUUCUAUGUAAUAAACAUUCAUGUGACCUUU